UCAACCCGCGAUCUGAAGAACGGCGGCGGCCGCUCCAGCUUGCAGCGGACGGAUCUAUGUGCGGCAGGGGCUGGGGAGGAUCCGAGACGGGCGGCGACGACGUGGGUCGCCGAUGACAACGAGGAAAGCCAGAGCGCGACUUCCCGGGCGGACCCAUGGCAUCCGGGGCUCCUGUCAGAAAGGAGACAGGGAGAUGGGGGGAGGAGAAAAGGGGGGAAAGGAGGGGAGGUGCGGCGACAGGAGGUCGGACGAGGCGGCGGCUUCCUGCAGUAGACGGCAACGCGGUGCAGGGUGCUGUCCACGGGUGUCAUGGGGCCGUCCUCCUCACCUCAGCUUCCUGGACCUCACACGCCUGCUCCCUUGCCAAGUACGUACGUCCAAGCGGCCACCAUACUCACCACCUCCGCCGACUUCCCCUAUGGUGCCAAUCUCAAGAGCCCCGACAGCUCGAUUCCGUGCAUCCCGGCUCGAUUACUUCAAGGAGGAGGAGGAUGAACGCGUGGCGGAGGUCCUGGACACGGCCGACUGUCCCAGGAAGGUCUGCAGCAACGGCGGCCUCUGGUGCACGCGGAGGUCUCCGUCUCCGUGGAGGUGGAAAUUUAAUUCGACCUCACCUGGGGCUGCCGGCGGACUCCUCCCGAAGCUCCUGCACGCCGCCACGAUGAGCACGCCCAGGCUCGUGAUGGCCUCGAAUACAAAUACGGUCUGCGGCCACAGGCGGAGACCAGCGCCCUCUGGAUCGCCAAGCUCUGUUCAAACCAAAAGACAAGCGUAGGUUUUCGAAUUGCUUGAAGUUAUACAGUUGAGAUGUCUAGACAUUUCAAUGAAAUACCCUCAGUUGCUUUGAAAUCUGAGAGCUGAAUCGUAGAAAUUGAAAACAGAUAAGUGCAGAUAAUAAGCGCGAACAGGUCCAUCAAUUUCGCGAACCCCAUAUAUCCAUGAUCUGAUAAGCUGGACCUGAGAUCAAAUAUCACACUGAUUAUUGAUUGCAGAAAGCUAAGUAUCAACUAUGCCCGAAUAAUGAGCGGAUGCUUUGCAGAUUUUGUCUUCUGUAGACUGAAUACUGCCAGUGACUAUAUUAUCCAGCAGAGCACUUAUAUGCCUUCACUAAGAACAAAAGGUGGGUACUUGCAACCACUUAUUCUUCCUUGUAACUGCAAAAAGAAUAUCCUCAGGAGAUGAGUGGCCAAUAUAAGCAGGCAACAGAAUUUGCUUGCUUGAUAUGAGAUGCCCAGCAUUAUUAUGUCUGUGUUACGCAGAGGUCUCCGUGGAGGUGGAAAUUUAAUUCGGCCUCACCUGGGGCUGCCGGCCUCCCUGAGCUCCUGCUGCCGGCGGCCUCCUCCCGAAGCUCCUGCCGGCCUCCUCCCAGAGCACCAAGCACGAACAAGGUACCGUGCUGCACACCUGAAGGUCACCCAUCUACUCUCCGCAAGCCAAAUCCUCUUUUGAAAUUGAGCAGUUGAUCAAAUUAACUAGGAAACCUUGACACACACUUGCGUCCAGUAGCUCGAUCUGCUGGUGCUAGGAGGGGAUUACCCUUAGAGUUGCAGCCGGUGCUGAGCACUCAUAGUUUCAGGUAUUAUUUCUUAGUUAAUUUGUUCAAGAUGGAUGUGGCUGAUUCGAUAUUUCGAUUGGAAAAAAUUCUUGAAGUCUGUAACCCAGUUUAUGUCUCAAUGAGCCAAAACAGUGGGAAGUUUCUGUUUCGUGGAAGAACUAUGAGUGCAAGCGAACCAAGAAGCACACAAAACAGUGAGCUAACUAUAGUCCCGUUGAGCUCCUAGCUACAGCGUACUCAGCAGAGCACUGCUUGCGAUGGAGGCUCAUUGACAUCUGCCAGAUAUAGUAAGGAUAAAAAUUAUGUUUGCUGAACAACGGUUGUAUUUAUUUUCGCACAAUGCGUUUUUACACAUGCUUCUCAAAAAUAAUUACA